UACGAAGGGGGCUAGCGUUGCUCGGAAUCACUGGGCGUAAAGGGUGCGUAGGCGGGUCUUAAGUCAGGGGUGAAAUCCUGGAGCUCAACUCCAGAACUGCCCUUGAUACUGAGGAUCUUGAGUUCGGGAGAGGUGAGUGGGAACUGCGAGUGUAGAGGUGAAAUUCGUAGAUAUUCGCAAGAACACCAGUGGCGAAGGCGGCUCACUGGCCCGAUACUGACGCUGAGGCACGAAAGCGUGGGGAGCAAACAGGG
rnacentral:rRNA from 1 species